UGACCUUCUUGUAUAAGCACUGUGCUAAAACUGCAGGAACUAAGAUUCUAUCUUGGUUUUUGUAAUAAUGCUAGCAGAGUACACACAAGAAGAAAAGUAACUGCA
ensembl:miRNA